rnacentral:rRNA from 1 species
ACGUAGGGGGCAAGCGUUAUUCGGAUUUACUGGGUGUAAAGGGAGCGUAGACGGCGACGCAAGUCUGAAGUGAAAUACCCGGGCUCAACCUGGGAACUGCUUUGGAAACUGUGUUGCUAGAGUGCUGGAGAGGUAAGCGGAAUUCCUAGUGUAGCGGUGAAAUGCGUAGAUAUUAGGAAGAACACCAGUGGCGAAGGCGGCUUACUGGACAGUAACUGACGUUGAGGCUCGAAAGCGUGGGGAGCAAACAG